rnacentral:rRNA from 1 species
AUUGAACGCUGGCGGCAGGCUUAACACAUGCAAGUCGAGCGGAGAUGAGGUGCUUGCACCUUAUCUUAGCGGCGGACGGGUGAGUAAUGCUUAGGAAUCUGCCUAUUAGUGGGGGACAACAUUCCGAAAGGAAUGCUAAUACCGCAUACGCCCUACGGGGGAAAGCAGGGGAUCUUCGGACCUUGCGCUAAUAGAUGAGCCUAAGUCGGAUUAGCUAGUUGGUGGGGUAAAGGCAUACCAAGGCGACGAUCUGUAGCGGGUCUGAGAGGAUGAUCGGCCACACUGGGACUGGGACACGGCCCAGACUCCUACGGGAGGCAGCAGUGGGGAAUAUUGGACAAUGGGCGGAAGCCUGAUCCAGCCAUGCCGCGUGUGUGAAGAAGGCCUUUUGGUUGUAAAGCACUUUAAGCGAGGAGGAGGCUACCUGGAUUAAUACUCUAGGAUAGUGGACGUUACUCGCAGAAUAAGCACCGGCUAACUCUGUGCCAGCAGCCGCAGUAAUAC